GUUUGAUCCUGGCUCAGAACGAACGCUGGCGGCAGGCUUAACACAUGCAAGUCGAGCGAGACCUUCGGGUCUAGCGGCGGACGGGUUAGUAACGCGUGGGAACGUGCCCUUUACUACGGAAUAGUCCCGGGAAACUGGGUUUAAUACCGUAUACGCCCUUCGGGGGAAAGAUUUAUCGGUAAAGGAUCGGCCCGCGUUAGAUUAGAUAGUUGGUGGGGUAAUGGCCUACCAAGUCUACGAUCUAUAGCUGGUUUGAGAGGAUGAUCAGCAACACUGGGACUGAGACACGGCCCAGACUCCUACGGGAGGCAGCAGUGGGGAAUCUUAGACAAUGGGCGCAAGCCUGAUCUAGCCAUGCCGCGUGAGUGACGAAGGCCUUAGGGUCGUAAAGCUCUUUCGCCAGGGAUG
rnacentral:rRNA from 1 species